UCGUCGAUACUCCCAUGCUUGAGAAUGUGAGAAACUUGGAGCUUGACUAUGCUUGAGAGAGUCCUGUUGAAGGAACGUCUGACACAGCCGCUGAUUGGUCUGGCUCGGCUAUGACUUCUACUUCGAUCUGAGCCUCUAUUGAUGGACCCGUCGAUGGUGCUGUGGCAACUCUGUCUUCUCUUACCACCCCAUCUUUGGUAGACAACACUUCAAGAAGCACUGUCGGGGCUGACAGCGCCAAAACUGACAUAGAAAUCGAUGCUGAUGGUACGUCGGUUCCCUCAUCGAUGCAGAUGUAGUUGCUCGACCCUUCUUCAAUGAUCGAGAGGGUCCAGCUUCGGAUGCCGC
rnacentral:lncRNA from 1 species